ensembl:lncRNA
UGGUUGGAGACAGGUGUUCUGGAGUCAGAGCAGAUCCCUACCAGCUGCAACUCAUCCAUAAAUCAAGACCUCUACAUAUACCCAUUCCUGCCACUUCCACUCUGCCAGAUUUUACCUCUCUGGCUUCUGUCUCCUGUUCCACAUCUCACCACCAACCACCUUGCUCUGGAUAUCACUCACCACCAUUACCUUGGAUUCCCCUCAGGACCUGUUCCCCUGUUCUACUCAGCCAACUCCAACCUCACUCUACACCCCUGGUUUUUGCAACUCAUCUGAGCUACCCCGGUUCUGCACUCCCCAUUUCUCUGUUCAAUAAACAUUUUUGUGCAUUCAUCCCGGCUUCCUAUUCUGAGUCCGCUCUUGGGUUCCCCCCUUCGCUCAUCGUAACACAAGCUAGACAAGCAGUCAUCAUCAUGAAUCACGUAGACUAAUCUACUAGCAAAUCCGUUCCAGUCCUUGUCAUAUAAAGAGAAAUUAUAGACAAAACGUAUCGGUGCUCAUCGGCCAUUGGACAUUACACAACAAGUCGGAAAUGUAAAAUUCAACAAUGAGUGGUUCAGAAGUAAUCAGUGUCUAACUGCAAGCGUUGCAAAGCAAUCACUAUGUUGCUUCCCCUGCCUGCUAUUCGGUUAAGAGGGCCUCUUUCUAGAGCUUCAACCUGAAGAUCACUGGUUCAACAUUGUUUUCCCGGUAGUCUUGAAAGGACCAUAAAUCCAGAGAAUGACAGACUUUGAUGACAGAGUUUGCCCACAAGAAGGACAGUAGCGCCACAUUACUGUUCAAGUGAACAUAGCACAACAACAGUCUAUGGCUUGGGUGGCUGGAGUUUUUAACAAUAUUCUGGGCCCCCCUUUCACACCAUCUGAUAUAGAGGACCUGAAUGGCAGGGAGCUCGGUCCCAGUGAUGUGAUCGAGGGCAGUGCUGUUGCCAUACCAAGCAGUGAGGAGGCCAGUCAAGAUGGUCUCAAUGGUGCAGCUGUAGAACCUUUUGAGGAUUUGAGGGCCCAUGCCAAAACCUUUCAACCUCCUGAGGGGGAAGAGUCGCCGUUGUGCCUUAACAACUGUGUGCCUGUGUGUGGACCAUUUUAAGUCCUUAGUGAUUUGGACACUGAGGAACUUGAAACUCUCAACCUGCUCCAGUGCAGUCCCAUUAAUAUGGAUGGGGGCGUGCUUAUCCCCCCUUUCCUGUAAGCCCACGAUCAGCUCAUUGGUCUUGUUGAGGGAGAUGUUGUCCCGCCAUCACACCUCCUACUUGUCUCAUCGUCCGAUGUGAUCAAGCCAACCACCAUCGUGUCGUCAGCAAUCUUGAUGGUGUUGAAGUUGAAUGUGGCCACGCAGUCGUGGGUGAAUAGGAGGGGACUAAGCACACACCACUUUCGGGCCUCCAUGUUGAGGGUCAGUGUGGCAGAGGUGAUGUUGCCUACCCUACCACCUGGGGUCAGCCCCUCAGGAAGUCCAGUUUCCAGUUGCAGAGGAAGUUGUUCUGUCCCAUGGUCCUGAGCUUGGAGGGGACAAUAGUGUUGAACGCUGAGCUGUAGUCAAUGAAUGACAUUUUCAAGCAAUGCUUAUUACAAGGUUAUUACUUAUUUAUGAACUACACUAUCCUAUAUUAACUAAUGAUGAACAGUCUAUAUCUACUUAUAAACCAUUUCCAAG